rnacentral:rRNA from 1 species
AGUGAACGCUGGCGGUAGGCCUAACACAUGCAAGUCGAACGGCAGCACAGUAAGAGCUUGCUCUUACGGGUGGCGAGUGGCGGACGGGUGAGGAAUACAUCGGAAUCUACUUUUUCGUGGGGGAUAACGUAGGGAAACUUACGCUAAUACCGCAUACGACCUACGGGUGAAAGCACGGGAUCUUCGGACCUUGCGCGAUUGAAUGAGCCGAUGUCGGAUUAGCUAGUUGGCGGGGUAAAGGCCCACCAAGGCGACGAUCCGUAGCUGGUCUGAGAGGAUGAUCAGCCACACUGGAACUGAGACACGGUCCAGACUCCUACGGGAGGCAGCAGUGGGGAAUAUUGGACAAUGGGCGCAAGCCUGAUCCAGCCAUACCGCGUGGGUGAAGAAGGCCUUCGGGUUGUAAAGCCCUUUUGUUGGGAAAGAAAAGCAGCAGGUUAAUACCCCGCUGUUCUGACGGUACCCAAAGAAUAAGCACCGGCUAACUUCGUG